CCCGGCUUCUCCGGGGCGAGAUAAACACAUUUCGGUCACGUGGCGAGCCUAUACGGUGCCAUGCUCCUAUUUGCCUUCACCGCUCGCUUUUCGCUUUUCACAAUAACAUGCCAUCCGCCAGCCAGCUCCGAGGCUAACCUCACCUCCCUGGCGCCCGGCCAGCCCGCCCGGGCCCGGCCGUGCAGGGAGAAGCCGCGACUCCCGCGGGGAGGUUGCACCCCGGCCUGGGGCUGGCAGCUGCCCAAGCCAGAGCUGGGGAAGCGUCCGGCUGCAUCCCGGUUUGGGGCUGGAACGGGAGCUGGCUGCACGGGGGCGAGAGCCGGGGCCAGGACUGGCCACAUCCCCAGGACGGGGCUCAGGAAGAGCGCGGUGUCCCCGCGGGGUGGAGUUUCGCCCGGGGACCGCAGGAUAUUAAGAAAGUUUAUGCUGCCUUGAAAACUACUCCUCUGUAAGAAAAACAUUCUGACCAUUUGCUGGAGGCCAUUUUAUGAAACCUCAAGGAGGUUAAUAGCUUGCAUAAUGUCAGGAAUACCACGUCUCUCCUUAAUCCUUCUCCUCAUUCUCUGCCAUUUACUCAGACAAACCAGGAGCUCUGUAGGCCAAGCACUCCUGUGACAGACAAUGGAUUCCUACCUAUCGGAGGGGCCUGCACCAGAAAACGGAUGGACUUCUUCCCUGCUCAGUUCACACAUGGUGCUGAGAGAAAACCUGCAAUGUGUCUGUGAGACUAAGGGACAUGAAAGAGGAGACAGCAAAAGGAGUCCAUCCUAAGUAUGGAGAUUGCGUUUUUCAUUUUGCUGGAAUUUGCUAUUUCAUCUAGAGAAGCACUGGUAGAUGUGGCAUGAAUGAAAUUGCGCUGCUGCGAAACAAAGCUGAGCAAACGGGAGAAAGAGAAUUAUUUGAACUGUUUCUAAAAUGUUGUCAUGUUUGUUAACAGCUGCUUAACUCCAGUGUCUAACAAGCUCUUGGAAAAUAAGUUUAUUAAUAAAAAAACGAAAAAGGCAA